AGUGAACGCUGGCGGUAGGCCUAACACAUGCAAGUCGAACGGCAGCACAGUAAGAGCUUGCUCUUACGGGUGGCGAGUGGCGGACGGGUGAGGAAUACAUCGGAAUCUACUUUUUCGUGGGGGAUGACGUAGGGAAACUUACGCUAAUACCGCAUACGACCUACGGGUGAAAGCAGGGGAUCUUCGGACCUUGCGCGAUUGAAUGAGCCGAUGUCGGAUUAGCUAGUUGGCGGGGUAAAGGCCCACCAAGGCGACGAUCCGUAGCUGGUCUGAGAGGAUGAUCAGCCACACUGGAACUGAGACACGGUCCAGACUCCUACGGGAGGCAGCAGUGGGGAAUAUUGGACAAUGGGCGCAAGCCUGAUCCAGCCAUACCGCGUGGGUGAAGAAGGCCUUCGGGUUGUAAAGCCCUUUUGUUGGGAAAGAAAAGCAGCAGGUUAAUACCCCGCUGUUCUGACGGUACCCAAAGAACAAGCACCGGCUAACUUCGUG
rnacentral:rRNA from 1 species